AACGAACGCUGGCGGCAUGCCUAACACAUGCAAGUCGAACGAGACCUUCGGGUCUAGUGGCGCACGGGUGCGUAACGCGUGGGAACCUGCCCUUAGGUUCGGAAUAACUCCCCGAAAGGGGUGCUAAUACCGGAUAAUGUAUUCGGACAAAAGAUUUAUCGCCUUUGGAUGGGCCCGCGUUGGUUUAGCUUGUUGGUAGGGUAAAAGCCUACCAAGGCGACGAUCCAUAGCUGGUCUGAGAGGAUGAUCAGCCACACUGGGACUGAGACACGGCCCAGACUCCUACGGGAGGCAGCAGUGGGGAAUAUUGGACAAUGGGCGAAAGCCUGAUCCAGCAAUGCCGCGUGAGUGAUGAAGGCCUUAGGGUUGUAAAGCUCUUUUACCCGGGAUGAUAAUGACAGUACCGGGAGAAUAAGCUCCGGCUAACUCCGUG
rnacentral:rRNA from 1 species